AUUGAACGCUGGCGGCAUGCCUUACACAUGCAAGUCGAACGGUAACAGGCCGCAAGGUGCUGACGAGUGGCGAACGGGUGAGUAAUGCAUCGGAACGUGCCCAGUUGUGGGGGAUAACUGCUCGAAAGAGCAGCUAAUACCGCAUACGACCUGAGGGUGAAAGCGGGGGAUCGCAAGACCUCGCGCAAUUGGAGCGGCCGAUGUCAGAUUAGGUAGUUGGUGGGGUAAAGGCCUACCAAGCCGACGAUCUGUAGUUGGUCUGAGAGGACGACCAGCCACACUGGGACUGAGACACGGCCCAGACUCCUACGGGAGGCAGCAGUGGGGAAUUUUGGACAAUGGGCGCAAGCCUGAUCCAGCAAUGCCGCGUGCAGGAAGAAGGCCUUCGGGUUGUAAACUGCUUUUGUCAGGGAAGAAAUCCUCUGGGUUAAUACCCCGGGGGGAUGACGGUACCUGCAGAAGAAGCACCGGCUAACUACGUGCCAGCCGCCGCGGUAA
rnacentral:rRNA from 1 species